GACAGAGGAUGCAAGCGUUAUCCGGAAUGAUUGGGCGUAAAGCGUUUGUAGGUGGCUCUUCAAGUCCGCCGUCAAAUCCCAGGGCUCAACCCUGGACAGGCGGUGGAAACUGCCAAGCUGGAGUACGGUAGGGGCAGAGGGAAUUUCCGGUGGAGCGGUGAAAUGCAUUGAGAUCGGAAAGAACACCAACGGCGAAAGCACUCUGCUGGGCCGACACUGACACUGAGAGACGAAAGCUAGGGGGGCAAAUGGG
rnacentral:rRNA from 1 species